rnacentral:rRNA from 1 species
AGAGUUUGAUCCUGGCUCAGGAUGAACGCUAGCUACAGGCUUAACACAUGCAAGUCGAGGGGCAUCAGGAAGAAAGCUUGCUUUCUUUGCUGGCGACCGGCGCACGGGUGAGUAACACGUAUCCAACCUGCCCUUUACUCGGGGAUAGCCUUUCGAAAGAAAGAUUAAUACCCGAUAGCAUAAUGAUUCCGCAUGGUUUCAUUAUUAAAGGAUUCCGGUAAAGGAUGGGGAUGCGUUCCAUUAGGUUGUUGGUGAGGUAACGGCUCACCAAGCCUUCGAUGGAUAGGGGUUCUGAGAGGAAGGUCCCCCACAUUGGAACUGAGACACGGUCCAAACUCCUACGGGAGGCAGCAGUGAGGAAUAUUGGUCAAUGGGCGUUAGCCUGAACCAGCCAAGUAGCGUGAAGGAUGAAGGCUCUAUGGGUCGUAAACUUCUUUUAUAUAAGAAUAAAGUGCAGUAUGUAUACUGUUUUGUAUGUAUUAUAUGAAUAAGGAUCGGCUAACUCCGUGCCAGCAGCCGCGGUAAUACGGAGGAUCCGAGCGUUAUCCGGAUUUAUUGGGUUUAAAGGGAGCGUAGGUGGACUGGUAAGUCAGUUGUGAAAGUUUGCGGCUCAACCGUAAAAUUGCAGUUGAUACUGUCAGUCUUGAGUACAGUAGAGGUGGGCGGAAUUCGUGGUGUAGCGGUGAAAUGCUUAGAUAUCACGAAGAACUCCGAUUGCGAAGGCAGCUCACUGGACUGCAACUGACACUGAUGCUCGAAAGUGUGGGUAUCAAACAGGAUUAGAUACCCUGGUAGUCCACACAGUAAACGAUGAAUACUCGCUGUUUGCGAUAUACAGUAAGCGGCCAAGCGAAAGCAUUAAGUAUUCCACCUGGGGAGUACGCCGGCAACGGUGAAACUCAAAGGAAUUGACGGGGGCCCGCACAAGCGGAGGAACAUGUGGUUUAA